AUUGAACGCUGGCGGCAGGCCUAACACAUGCAAGUCGAGCGGAGCGGCGGACGGGUGAGUAAUGCCUAGGAAUCUGCCUGGUAGUGGGGGAUAACGUCCGGAAACGGGCGCUAAUACCGCAUACUAUAAGAUGAGACUAGGUCGGAUUAGCUAGUGGGUGGGGUAAAGGCCUACCAGGGCGACGAUCCGUAACUGGUCUGAGAGGAUGAUCAGUCACACUGGAACGGAGACCCGGUCCAGACUCCUACGGGUGGCAGCAUUGGGGAAUAUCGGACAAGGGGCGAAAACCUGAUCCAGCCAUGCCGCGUAUGGGAAGAAGGUCUUCGGAUUGUAAAGCACUUUAAGUUGGGAGGCGUUACCAACAGAAUAAGCACCGGCUAACUUCGUGCCAGCAGCCGCGGUAAUUC
rnacentral:rRNA from 1 species